GAUGCUUCCAUCUGUCAAAGCUGUGUCGCUUCCCCACAGUCAGCCACACAGACCAGAUCUGUCCCCUGGUCCUCAGGAAAGAAGACAGACCCGUCGUGUCUGAAAGGAGCUGUCAUCACCCCUGCGCCUCCCACCACCUCCGCAGCCCUGGGAGAGGAAGACGGCCACUUCAAAGCACGUGUUUGCAAGACGGCUCUUCACAUCCUUCGGGAAGAAGGAGGACAGACAAAGCCUUUCUUCUCAGGCUGCUCCGUCCUUAUUCCAAAAGGAAAGCACCCCUCUUUCCUCCCACAUCUCAGCCAGAACAAGGCCUGACUCUGCAGAGACCCACCCCUGGCCAGGAGAAAUCAAGAGAGCUUGACUGGCUUAGAUCCAUCAUGACUCCUUCCCUGGGGAGGGUGGACCCUCCUGCCUGGUUACCAUGCCUCUGGGAGCUCCCUGGAGACAAGCGGCUCUGUGCAGCCAUAAAGGAGGCCGUGGAGGGAACUAGGCUUUGGUUGGAAACCACUGGAGCAGGGUGCUGA
rnacentral:lncRNA from 1 species